rnacentral:lncRNA from 1 species
GUUAUGCACAGUCUUGAUGGCAAAAAAUGUCUUUACCCUAAUUACAGUAUAACCUCCAUAUUUGGUAAAGCCAACUAAGUUGCAACAGUGCAAAAAUGCCUUAAUCAAGUUUCAGUGUAGGUGUAUCCUUGAAUUGCUGUCACAUCUCAGUAGGUAGCCAAGGGCUGGGAGUAAUGACUCAGUUAUAUGACUUGUAUUAUUCAUUUGUUUGUUUUCUUAUAGUUUUCCUUGAAUGAUAAGGUUCUCAACAUCCCUUCUUGGAAUGGAAAAAUCACAGGAAGAAGAUUCCAGCUGCUUCAUCUUUAUUAAUGAAAUAGAUUACUUCUUACUAACUGCACACAAGUUUCUCCUUCGUAUGCCUCUUAAGACCGCUAUUAUCCAUGCUUUAAGCUGAUGGAGAAGUUUACUUUUUCUGUCUUUGUGAAUGGCAAUGGGAGAACUUUAGGACUGAAGAGGCAAGAAGGAAAUUCAACAGGAAUGAGGCUUCUUUGCACCCGCCUCACACCUGAAGUGAUGUUUACCAUCUGCCAUAAUAAUAUAUUAAAGGUUUGGUGUCUAGGAUAAAAACAUUUCAAGCGUGGAUACACAGCACAUCUUAAAGAGACAUUUUAAUUCUAGUCCUUAUAAAAUCUGAAAGCGUUAGGAGUGACAUCUGCCUCUGAAUUCCCUUACAGGUUUUUGUGGUUUCACAAAUGCUCCUUCCUAUUUUAUUAGUUCCUGUUGCUGUGUAAAAGGAAAUAUUAACAGGAAAACCAAGACACAAAAUGUAAUGACAGUAUAUUCAAGCAAUGCAUAAAAAAGGGUAUUUCUCUAAUCUUUUAAAAUGAUGUUAGGUGCUCCUUGCAACAGUAGUAGUGUUGAACAAAUCAUACUUGUUUAUAAAAUGGUGUCCUUUAACAAGCUGAUAACAUGCUGACUUAGUAUACUAUCCCACUUGGGGAAUACAUACCUAAGAGAAAAUAAGACUGGGAUUUUUGUCAACACGUGACUAUACUUAAUUUAUGCACACUGAUUGUUUAAGCAAGAGUGCUCAGUGUCGAAAGCCAAGCAAUGUGUAAAGCUUGGCAAGGUCAGGACUUUAAGUCUAUUGUUGCUAGUACCUAAAGGAGUUAUUCCUUCAAUCAAAUGGUGGAGGCCUCUGCUUUUGUUACAGAAGGAUUAUGCUGUGCUGACAAUUGAUGCCUAUGGUUAAGUAUUAAAAUUUAUUUUCAUAUGCAGCUUCACCUGAAUCUGAAUACUUUCAAACAGAAGGUAUGUGUAAUUGGUUGUGAAUGAGCAUUUAUUACCUGUAUAUGAGGUAUGCUGGAAAUAUCUUUUGUUUUGCUAUUCUUAAUGUAAUUUUAUGUAAGAGGCAUUCAUUA